rnacentral:tRNA from 1 species
GGUGGCUCAGUGGUAGAGUGCUUGCCUCACAUGCAUGAGGACCUGGGUUCGAUUCCUCAGCACCA